CUGAGAGGAAGGUCCCCCACAUUGGUACUGAGACACGGACCAAACUCCUACGGGAGGCAGCAGUGAGGAAUAUUGGUCAAUGGCCGAGAGGCUGAACCAGCCAAGUCGCGUGAAGGAAGAAGGAUCUAUGGUUUGUAAACUUCUUUUAUAGGGGAAUAAAGUGGAGGACGUGUCCUUUUUUGUAUGUACCCUAUGAAUAAGCAUCGGCUAACUCCGUGCCAGCAGCCGCGGUAAUACGGAGGAUGCGAGCGUUAUCCGGAUUUAUUGGGUUUAAAGGGUGCGUAGGUGGUGAUUUAAGUCAGCGGUGAAAGUUUGUGGCUCAACCAUAAAAUUGCCGUUGAAACUGGGUUACUUGAGUGUGUUUGAGGUAGGCGGAAUGCGUGGUGUAGCGGUGAAAUGCAUAGAUAUCACGCAGAACUCCGAUUGCGAAGGCAGCUUACUAAACCAUAACUGACACUGAAGCACGAAAGCGUGGGGAUCAAACAGGAUUAGAUACCCUGGCAGUCCACGCAGUAAACGAUGAUUACUAGGAGUUUGCGAUACAAUGUAAGCUCUACAGCGAAAGCGUUAAAGUAAUCCACCUGGGGAGUACGCCGGCAACGGUGAAACUCAAAAGGAAUUGACGGGGGCCCGCACAAGCGGAGGAACAUGUGGUUUAAUUCGAUGAUACGCGAGGAACCUUACCCGGGUUUGAACGUAGUCUGACCGGAGUGGAGACACUCUUUCUAGCAAUAGCAGAUUACGAGGUGCUGCAUGGUUGUCGUCAGCUCGUGCCGUGAGGUGUCGGCUUAAGUGCCAUAACGAGCGCAACCCUUAUCACUAGUUACUAACAGGUGAAGCUGAGGACUCUGGUGAGACUGCCAGCGUAAGCUGUGAGGAAGGUGGGGAUGACGUCAAAUCAGCACGGCCCUUACAUCCGGGGCGACACACGUGUUACAAUGGCAUGGACAAAGGGCAGCUACCUAGUGACAGGAUGCUAAUCUCCAAACCAUGUCUCAGUUCGGAUCGGAGUUUGCAACUCGACUCCGUGAAGCUGGAUUCGCUAGUAAUCGCGCAUCAGCCAUGGCGCGGUGAAUACGUUCCCGGGCCUUGCACU
rnacentral:rRNA from 1 species